UACAGAGGGAGGAAGCGUUGUUGGGAUUUACUGGGCGUAAAGAGCGCGCAGGCGGCUGGUCAAGUCCGAUGUGAAAUCUCCCGGCUCAACUGGGAAACUGCAUCGGAAACUGAUCGGCUUGAAGGUGGGAGAGGGUAGUGGAAUUCCCGGUGUAGUGGUGAAAUGCGUAGAUAUCGGGAGGAACACCAGUGGCGAAGGCGACUACCUGGCCCACUCUUGACGCUGAGGCGCGAAAGCUAGGGGAGCGAACAGG
rnacentral:misc_RNA from 1 species